CAAUAGCGUAUGCUAACUUUGCUGCAGUUAAAAAGCUCGUAGUUGAAUUUUGGGACUUGGGAGGUCUGGUCUGCCUGAUGGUAAGUACUGACUUCCCGGUUCUAAUUUCUCGUUUCUUUCGGGUCUUUCGGGAUUCGGAAUGGGGCGGGGAAUGUUUCCUUCUCAUUGCGGGCUUCUGCACUUAACUGGGUGGAAGUGUUCCGUAUGGGAUCGUUUACCUUGAGAAAAUUAGAGUGUUCAAAGCAGGCAAUUCUUUUUUCUUGGGUGGAGCGGGGCUUGGGGCAACUCAGGUUCAGUUUCAUUCAAGCUACAAGCCAUUGAAUACUUCAGCAUGGAAUAAUAAAACAGGACUCGAUUCCUAUUUUGUUGGUUUCUAGGAAAACGGGUAAUGAUUGAUAGGGAUAGUUGGGGAUAUUAGUAUUUAGUUGUCAGAGGUGAAAUUCUUAGAUUUACGAAAGACUAACUUCUGCGAAAGCAUUUAUCAAGGAUGUUUUCAUUGA
rnacentral:rRNA from 1 species